AACGUAGGAGGCAAGCGUUAUCCGGAUUUACUGGGCGUAAAGCGCGUGUAGGCGGCCUUGUAAGUCCGUUCUGAAAGCCCGGGGCUCAACCCCGGGAGGCGGAUGGAUACUGCAAGGCUCGAGUACGGAAGAGGCGAGUGGAAUUCCCGGUGUAGCGGUGAAAUGCGCAGAUAUCGGGAGGAACACCAAUGGCGAAGGCAGCUCGCUGGGACGUUACUGACGCUGAGACGCGAAAGCGUGGGGAGCAAACAGG
rnacentral:rRNA from 1 species